rnacentral:RNase_P_RNA from 19 species
UCAGUCGGCCGGACGGCCGCUCCCGCACCGGCCGAAAGGCUGCGGGGGAGGAAAGUCCGGGCUCCAUCGACAUACGGUGCCGGAUAACGUCCGGCGGGGGCGACCCCAGGGAAAGUGCCACAGAGACCGAACCGCCCCGCGAAGCCGCAAGGCGAAGCGGGGUAAGGGUGAAAAGGUGCGGUAAGAGCGCACCGCGUCUCCGGCAACGGAGACGGCAUGGUAAACCCCACCGGGAGCAAAACCGAAUAGGGACGGCAUCGCGGACAGUUCGCUCUCGGGCGAUAACUCCGCAGGGUGAUGUCAAACCCGCCGUCCGGGUAGGUUGCUCGAGGCGCUGUGCAAACAGCGUCCCAGAGGAAUGGCCGUCGCGUAUCGCUCCGCCUCACGGCGAGCGGUGCCCUCCAGAACCCGGCUUACAGGCCGACUGAUACU